AACGUAGGAGACAACCGUUAUCCGGAGUUACUGGGCGUAAAGGGCGUGUAGGCGGUUUGUUAAGUCUAGCGUGAAAGCUCUCGGCUAAACCGGGAGAGGUCGUUGGAUACUGGCAAACUAGAGGACGGUAGAGGCGUGUGGAAUUCCGGGUGUAGUGGUGAAAUGCGUAGAGAUCCGGAGGAACACCAGUGGCGAAGGCGACACGCUGGGCCGUACCUGACGCUAAAGCGCGACAGCAUGGGGAGCAAACGGG
rnacentral:rRNA from 1 species